rnacentral:rRNA from 8 species
GUUGGUGUUUUGUCGGAGGGGGUACACCCGUUCUCAUUCCGAACACGGCAGUUAAGCCUUCUAGAGCCGAUGGUACUCGUAAAGGGGAGAGUAGGCAGACGCCAACA